AUUGAACGCUGGCGGCAGGCCUAACACAUGCAAGUCGAGCGAGAGGCGGACGGGUGAGUAAUGUAUGGGGAUAUGCCCGAUAGAGGGGGAUAACUACUGGAAACGGUAGCUAAUACCGCAUACUAUCGGAUGAACCCAUAUGGGAUUAGCUAGUAGGUGAGGUAAUGGCUCACCUAGGAGACGAUCCCUAGCUGGUCUGAGAGGAUGAUCAGCCACACUGGGACUGAGACACGGCCCAGACUCCUCCGUGAGGCAGCAGUGGGAAAUAUUGCACAAUGGUCGCAACCCUGAGGCAGCCAUGCCGCGUGUAUGAAGAAGGCCUUCGGGUUGUAAAGUACUUUCAGCGGGGAGGCGUUGCCCGCAGAAGAAGCACCGGCUAACUCCGUGCCAGCAGCCGCGGUAAUAC
rnacentral:rRNA from 1 species